GACGAACGCUGGCGGCGUGCCUAAUACAUGCAAGUCGAGCGGACGAAUCGAAAGCUUGCUUUUGAUUCGUUAGCGGCGGACGGGUGAGUAACACGUGGGCAACCUGCCCUGUAGACGGGGAUAACACCGAGAAAUCGGUGCUAAUACCGGAUAACACGAAAUGUCGCAUGACGUUUCGUUGAAAGACGGCGCAAGCUGUCGCUACAGGAUGGGCCCGCGGCGCAUUAGCUAGUUGGUGAGGUAACGGCUCACCAAGGCGACGAUGCGUAGCCGACCUGAGAGGGUGAUCGGCCACACUGGGACUGAGACACGGCCCAGACUCCUACGGGAGGCAGCAGUAGGGAAUCUUCCGCAAUGGACGAAAGUCUGACGGAGCAACGCCGCGUGAGCGAAGAAGGCCUUCGGGUCGUAAAGCUCUGUUGUUAGGGAAGAACAAGUAACGCAGUAACGGGCGUUACCGUGACGGUACCUAACGAGAAAGCCACGGCUAACUACGG
rnacentral:rRNA from 1 species